CAGGGUGACGCGGCGGGCGACAGCGGUAAGGUCCUCCCGGACAGGCCCAGGGGCGAGGCGGCCGCGCAGGCGGAAAAGCCCAACAGCAAAACGUUCUUGGCGGCAGCGCAACAACGAGAACCGCGAGAACGCGUCCAGCAACAGCGACCACGACGACGUCACCUCGGGCACGCCCAAGGAGAAGAAAGCCCAGACCUCCAAGAAGAAGCAGAGCUCCAUGGCCAAGGUGUAGCGGCAGGCGUCCGCCGCAGACCUCCCCAUCGACUCCAGCGAGCGCUUCUAAUGAGAGAUGAUCCGCUGCGACAACGAAUGCCCCAUCGAGUGGUUCCGUUUCUCGUAUACCAGGUGUGGUGGCUCACGCCUGUAAUCCCAGCACUUUGGGAGGCCAAGGCAGGCGGAUCACCUGAGGCUGGGAGUUUGAGACCAGAGCCUGACCAACAUGGAGAAACCCCAUCUCUACUAAAAACACAAAAUUAGCCGGGAGUGGUGGCGCAUGCCUUUAGUCCCAGCAACUCAGGAAGCUGAGAUAGGAGAAUCGCUUGAACCGGGAAGGCAGAGGUUGCGGUGAGCCAAGAUCACUCCAUUGCACUCCAGCCUGGACAACAACAGCGAAAGUCCGUCUCAAAAAUAAAUAAACAAAAUAAAAUAAAAAAUAAAACUGUAUUUAUUAAUGUAUUUAUUCUGGAGACACUUGAGGUGGGAGGAUCACUUGAGCCUCAACUCCCCAGGCUCAAAUGAUCCUCCCACCUGAGCCUCCCGAGUAGCUAGGACUACAGGUGUGCACCACCAUGCCUGGCUACUAAUUUUUAAAUUAUUUGUAGAGAGGAGGUCUCCCUAUGUUGCUAGGCUGGUCUUGAACUCCUGGGCUCAAGCAAUCCUCCCUCCUCAGCCCCUC
rnacentral:lncRNA from 1 species